AAGCUCCCGGAAGGGUCGGGAUAUCAUGGAUGUUCCAGCACAUACGCUCAUUGAAGUGUGCAGCUGUUUUCAAGUCAGCAAACAUUUACUGAGGAUCUACUAUGUACAAGAUGAACAUCUGCAACAAGCCCUCCAACAAGACGGCCCCUGAGAAGAGUGUGUGGACGGCACCGGCACAGCCCAGCGGACCCUCCCCUGAGCUGCAGGGCCAGCGAUCCCGCCGGAAUGGGUGGAGCUGGCCCCCUCACCCGCUCCAGAUUGUGGCCUGGCUGCUGUACCUCUUCUUUGCUGUGAUCGGCUUUGGGAUCCUUGUUCCCCUCCUGCCUCACCACUGGGUGCCCGCUGGCUACGCUCUGGGCACAGAGGUUCUGUGACUUCCUGAGAUCACAUAGCGGGCACCCAGUGAGGCCAGAUGGGCUGCCCAGGAAGCCUGACUGUCCUGAGAGGGGCGGGUUGAGGGCUUUGUCUCCGCAUUCAGGGUUCGUCUGCUUUGAGCAUUGCAGAGGCUCACAGAACCACCUGGUUCAUGCCUGACCAGCCUAUAUGCUCUCCUUCCUUCCAUCAAAGCCUUCUUUCUGCAGGCUCUCUCAGGUCCCCUGAGAAGUGAGGUAAGGUCAUAAUGGGUACCAGGUACCCACCUUGGGCCUGGAACUGGCCUGGGCCUUAGGGAUACAAGCUGAGCCCUAGGGUGCUGGGCCCCCAGCUGAAGGGAAGGCUGGUGCACGCCACGUGGUGAUCACGCCACAUGGUAAGUGCAGCAGACUGUGAGGGCAAGCAGAGGCCACCUACACCAGUAUCACCGCAUGUCCACAGGCACACUCGUGGCCUGUGGCUCCCCCCCUCCCCCGCCCCACCUCUCCCCACAUGCUCUUGGCUCCUCCCGCUUCCUUCCUAACUUAAAUCCAGUC
rnacentral:lncRNA from 1 species